GAUGAACGCUGGCGGCGUGCCUAAUACAUGCAAGUCGAGCGAACAGACGAUGAGCUUGCUCCUCUGACGUUAGCGGCGGACGGGUGAGUAACACGUGGAUAACCUACCUAUAAGACUGGGAUAACUUCGGGAAACCGGAGCUAAUACCGGAUAAUAUAUUGAACCGCAUGGUUCAAUAGUGAAAGACGGUUUUGCUGUCACUUAUAGAUGGAUCCGCGCCGCAUUAGCUAGUUGGUAAGGUAACGGCUUACCAAGGCAACGAUGCGUAGCCGACCUGAGAGGGUGAUCGGCCACACUGGAACUGAGACACGGUCCAGACUCCUACGGGAGGCAGCAGUAGGGAAUCUUCCGCAAUGGGCGAAAGCCUGACGGAGCAACGCCGCGUGAGUGAUGAAGGUCUUCGGAUCGUAAAACUCUGUUAUUAGGGAAGAACAAAUGUGUAAGUAACUAUGCACGUCUUGACGGUACCUAAUGAGAAAGCCACGGCUAACUACGUG
rnacentral:rRNA from 1 species